rnacentral:rRNA from 1 species
GCCUACGGCCAUACCAGUCUGAAAAUGCCUGAUCUCGUCAGAUUUCAGAAGCCAUCCAAACUCGGGCCUGGUUAGUACUUGUAUGGGAGAUCAACUAGGAACCUCAGGUGCUGUAACAA